rnacentral:rRNA from 1 species
CAGCCGCCGCGGUAAUACGGAGGGUGCAAGCGUUAAUCGGAAUUACUGGGCGUAAAGCGCACGCAGGCGGCUUGGUAAGUUAGAGGUGAAAGCCCAGGGCUCAACCCUGGAAUUGCCUUUAAGACUGCCGAGCUAGUAGGUGAGAGAGGUAAGUGGAAUUCCGAGUGUAGAGGUGAAAUUCGUAGAUAUUCGGAAGAACACCAGUGGCGAAGGCGGCUUACUGGCUCAUUCUAGACGCUGAGGUGCGAAAGCGUGGGGAGCAAACAGGAUUAGAUACCCGAGUAGUCCCUGUCUCUUAUAC